UGUACGCCCACUACAUGAGUACCACAGU
rnacentral:sRNA from 1 species